rnacentral:rRNA from 1 species
GACGAACGCUGGCGGCGUGCUUAACACAUGCAAGUCGAGCGGAAAGGCCCUUUCGGGGGUACUCGAGCGGCGAACGGGUGAGUAACACGUGAGUAAUCUGCCCUUGGCUUUGGGAUAACCACCGGAAACGGUGGCUAAUACCGGCUAUGACGCGCCCCGGCAUCGGGGUGGGUGGAAAGUUUUUUCGGCCAGGGAUGUGCUCGCGGCCUAUCAGCUUGUUGGUGGGGUAAUGGCCUACCAAGGCUUCGACGGGUAGCCGGCCUGAGAGGGUGACCGGCCACACUGGGACUGAGACACGGCCCAGACUCCUACGGGAGGCAGCAGUGGGGAAUAUUGGACAAUGGGCGGAAGCCUGAUCCAGCAACGCCGCGUGAGGGAUGACGGCCUUCGGGUUGUAAACCUCUUUCAGUACCGACGAAGCGCCGAUGAUGGUGGUGACGGUAGGUACAGAAGAAGCACCGGCCAACUACGUGCCAGCAGCCGCGGUAA